rnacentral:rRNA from 1 species
GAUGAACGCUGGCGGCGUGCCUAAUACAUGCAAGUCGAGCGAACAGACGAGGAGCUUGCUCCUCUGACGUUAGCGGCGGACGGGUGAGUAACACGUGGAUAACCUACCUAUAAGACUGGGAUAACUUCGGGAAACCGGAGCUAAUACCGGAUAAUAUAUUGAACCGCAUGGUUCAAUAGUGAAAGACGGUUUUGCUGUCACUUAUAGAUGGAUCCGCGCCGCAUUAGCUAGUUGGUAAGGUAACGGCUUACCAAGGCAACGAUGCGUAGCCGACCUGAGAGGGGGGUCGGCCACACGGGAACUGAGACACGGUCCAGACUCCUACGGGAGGCAGCAGUAGGGAAUCUUCCGCAAUGGGCGAAAGCCUGACGGAGCAACGCCGCGUGAGUGAUGAAGGUCUUCGGAUCGUAAAACUCUGUUAUUAGGGAAGAACAAAUGUGUAAGUAACUAUGCACGUCUUGACGGUACCUAAUCAGAAAGCCACGGCUAACUACGUG